CCACUCGUUGGACGGGUAUAGUUCCCAUAUCGGGCUUCUUUAAGCCUAAUUGUGGCGUAUUCUAAUAUCAAGGCGUACCCUGUCAUUAAUUUAUAAAUAUCCUAUACCUACCCGAGCGCACUGUAAUCGAUCAACCAUCCCAUUGCCGAAUGGUUCCGAUGCUACAGAUCCCCGAGACUCUCCUCUUAGGGGGUGUGACCAUGACUCUGUGCCUGGUCUGAGGAUGCCCUCCGUCGUCAUUCCUUAUAACCAGUUACCUCCCUUGAGACUUGGUCGGUACGGCGCACGUCCUACUGACGGGAUACCCAACAUUUGACGAAAACAGUCCCUUAUUUGGAAAGAUGCACAUCCUUCGACUUACAUGGACUUCUUAUUCCUAGCCGAUUGAGGCACGGUCGUCGGCGCCAUUAUGCCUCCUAGGCUCGCAAUAGGCCUAAAUAACCCAAAUUUCCCACGCAUCCGCCGAAUAAUUCAGUCCCCACUUUAUGCCGUCGAGUUGACAGCGUCACGGAAACUAUGACUAUUCGAACUUACACCAACUUCUACCGCCUUACUCUGUUCAUCGCCACUUUACGUAUCUAUACAGAGUCUUGAGGCUAACGCUUCCGUCGAUAGAUUCGGUAAUAACUGCGACUACGUGCUUUCGCACCCCUAGUUUGUCCUAAUCUAUGGGACCAUCAGGUGCGGGAUUUGCUACUAUUGAGCUACAAUCGCUAUGUGUCAAUCGCAGAAUCGCUUUCGCAAUUCAAUAGGUGGACCCCUCAUGCGGGCGUUCCCACUUUGAGUUUCCUUAACUGCCCCCGGGCGUGUUCGCCUCCUCGUACACCAAAUUAAGCUACUAUGCGCUCCUUGGAAUGGGCCCGAACUUUCAAUCACUUACUAGGUCUCUGCCUAGUCAGGAAGCCCUGUGCUUUGAUCCACGACGUACCGACAGCAGUCGAGCACGGCACUCCACAACCCAAUUCAGGGCGUUGCUCGCGUUGGGGAUACAAAUCAACGGUCGUACAUUACUACCCCUGAGAUUUGUCUGACGGACGCAUUCGUCACUCCUUCCACCCCUGCUGCAGUUCAGUAGUACCGGGAAUGCAGGCCCCGAUGUGUGCACGAUGUUACCUACCAUGUCGCCCGUCGAUGUGUCGUUACACUACGGUUAGAGCUUUUCGGUAAGUGUCAAGCCUAGCCCCAGACGUUGAGCUGGGGCACUUCAACCUAAGCGAUCAUU
rnacentral:rRNA from 1 species